UACGGAGGGUGCGAGCGUUGUCCGGAAUCACUGGGCGUAAAGGGCGCGUAGGCGGCGCGACAAGUCAAUGGUGAAAGCCCGAGGCUCAACUUCGGGUCGGCCACUGAUACUGUUGGGCUUGAGCACUGUAGAGGCAGGUGGAAUUCCGGGUGUAGCGGUGGAAUGCGUAGAGAUCCGGAAGAACACCGGUGGCGAAGGCGGCCUGCUGGGCAGUAGCUGACGCUGAGGUGCGAAAGCGUGGGGAGCAAACAGG
rnacentral:rRNA from 1 species